rnacentral:rRNA from 1 species
AUUGAACGCUGGCGGCCGGCCUAACACAUGCAAGUCGAACGGUAACAGGAAGAAGCUUGCUUCUUUGCUGACGAGUGGCGGACGGGUGAGUAAUGUCUGGGAAACUGCCUGAUGGAGGGGGAUAACUACUGGAAACGGUAGCUAAUACCGCAUAAUGUCGCAAGACCAAAGAGGGGGACCUUCGGGCCUCUUGCCAUCGGAUGUGCCCAGAUGGGAUUAGCUAGUAGGUGGGGUAACGGCUCACCUAGGCGACGAUCCCUAGCUGGUCUGAGAGGAUGACCAGCCACACUGGAACUGAGACACGGUCCAGACUCCUACGGGAGGCAGCAGUGGGGAAUAUUGCACAAUGGGCGCAAGCCUGAUGCAGCUAUGCCGCGUGUAUGAAGAAGGCCUUCGGGUUGUAAAGUACUUUCAGCGGGGAGGAAGGGAGUAAAGUUAAUACCUUUGCUCAUUGACGUUACCCGCAGAAGAAGCACCGGCUAACUCCGUG